CUCUUCUUGAAUAUAUUUUGAUGUAUGGCCUGCCCACUGAAUAUUGAAGGGCCGCGGUAUUUUGACCGUGCAAAGGUAGCAUAAUCAUUAGUCUUUUAAUUGUAGGCUGGAAUGAAUGGUUUGACGAGGUGUAAACUGUCUUUAAUUUAUUUAUUGAAUUUAAAUUUUAGGUUAAAAUGCCUAAAUAUUUUUUUGGGACGAGAAGACCCUAUAGAGUUUAUAUAUAUUUUUAUUUUUUUGUAUGAUAUUUUUUUAAUUUGAAAAUUUAUUUUGUUGGGGUGAUGGAAAGAUUUAAUUAACUCUUUUUAUUUUUUUUAUAUUUAUUUAUAUAUAUUUGAUCCAUUUUUGUUGAUUAUAAGACUAAAUUACCUUAGGGAUAACAGCGUAAUUCUUUUUGAGAGUUCUUAUUGACAAAAGAUUUUGCGACCUCGAUGUUGGAUUAAGAUUAAUUUUUGGUGUAGGUGCUAUUAUAUUAGGUCUGUUCGACCUUUAAAAUCUUACA
rnacentral:rRNA from 1 species